GACAUGCAAGUCGAACGGAUUAGAUGGUGUAGCAAUACAUUGUCUGGUUAGUGGCGCAAGGGUGAGUAACACGUGGGCAACCUGCCCGGAAAUGGGGGAUAACCCGCCGAAAGGCGGAUUAAUACCGCGUGUGACGAGAAGCGGCAUCGCUUCGUAGUUAAAGUCGGUGAAAGCUGACGUUUCCGGAUGGGCCCGCGGCCUAUCAGCUAGUUGGUGAGGUAACGGCUCACCAAGGCAAUGACGGGUAGCUGGUCUGAGAGGACGACCAGCCACACUGGAACUGAGACACGGUCCAGACACCUACGGGUGGCAGCAGUCGAGAAUUUUUCUCAAUGGGGGAAACCCUGAAGGAGCGACGCCGCGUGGAGGAUGAGGGUCUUCGGAUUGUAAACUCCUGUCAUGAGGGAGUAAGACACAGCGUUAACUGCGUAUGUGUUUGAUAGUACCUCAAGAGGAAGAGACGGCUAACUCUGUGCCAGCAGCCGCGGUAAUACAGAGGUCUCAAGCGUUGUUCGGAUUCAUUGGGCGUAAAGGGUGCGUAGGCGGUUGGGUAAGUCAGAGGUGAAAUUCCGGGGCUCAACCUCGGAACUGCCUUUGAUACUGCCUGACUCGAGUACUGGAGAGGAGACUGGAAUUCACGGUGUAGCAGUGAAAUGCGUAGAUAUCGUGAGGAAGACCAGUGGCGAAGGCGAGUCUCUGGACAGUUACUGACGCUGAGGCACGAAGGCUAGGGGAGCAAACGGGAUUAGAUACCCCGGUAGUCCUAGCAGUAAACGGUGCACGUUUGGUAUGGGAGGAAUCGACCCCUUCCGUGCCGUAGCUAACGCGUUAAACGUGCCGCCUGGGGAGUACGGUCGCAAGAUUAAAACUCAAAGAAAUUGACGGGGGCCCGCACAAGCGGUGGAGUAUGUGGCUUAAUUCGAUGCAACGCGAAGAACCUUACCUAGGCUUGACAUGCAUCUCUAAGUUGGUGAAAGCCAGCGAGUGGUAGCAAUA
rnacentral:rRNA from 1 species